AUGUCCGUCUGUGUCCCUGUGUCCCCAUGUCUAUGCGUCUGUCCAUGUGUCCCCGUGUCCGUAUGUCUGUCUGUCUCUGUCCCUGUGCCCCCACGUCCGUGUGUCUGCCUGUCUGUGUCCCCGUGUCCGUGUGUCCGUCUGUCUGUGUCCCAACGGCUGUGUGUCUGUCCAUCUGUGUCCUUGUGUCCGUCUGUCUGUGUCUCCGUGUCCUCACGUCCGUGUGUCCGUCUGUCUGUGUCCCUGUAUCUGUGUGUCCGUCUGUCUGUCCCCAUGUCCCCACGUCCAUGCGUCUGUCCGUCUGUGUCCCCGUGUCCAUAUGUCCGUCUGUCUGUAUCCCCAUGUCCACACGUCCGUGUGUCCGUCUAUGUCCCUGUGUCCGUGUGUCCAUCUGUCUGUGUCCCUGUGUCCUCAUGUCCAUGCGUCUGUCCGUCUGUCUCUGUCCCCGUGCCCCCAUGUCUGUGCGUCUGUCCAUCUGCAUCCCCGUGUCCAUGUGUCCGUCUGUCUGUGUCCCCAUGUCCGUGCGUCUGUCCAUCUGUGUCCGCGUGUCCGUAUGUCCGUCUGUCCAUCUGUCUGUGUCCCCGUGUCCCCACGUCCGCGUGUCCGUCUGUCCCCAUCUCUGUCUGUGUCCCCACAUGUCCCCCUGUUUAUGUCCCCGUGUCCGUCUGUCCCCACGGCCGUGUCCCUCCGUCCCCGUGUGUCCCUCUGUCUGUGUGUCCGUCCGUCUGUCUGCCUGUGUCCCCACGUCCGCGUGUCCGUCUGCCCCCAUGUGUCCUUCUGUCCGUCUGUCCCUUCGUGCCCCCCCCCCUGUCCCCGUGUGUCCCUCUGUCCCCACGUCCGUGUGUCCUCCUGUCCCUGCGUCCGUCUGUCCCCACGUGGCCCUCUGUCAAAAUGUCUCUGUCCCCCCGUCCGUGCAUCCAUCUGUCCCUGUGUCUCCACGUCUGUCUGACCCGUCUGUCCGUCCAUCCCUGUGUCCGUGUGUCCCCGUGGCUGUGUGUCCAUCUGGCCCCACGUGUCCGUGUGUCUCCAUGUCCCUCUGUCCCCUUGUCCCCGUCUGUCCCUCUGUCUGUGCGUCUGUCUGUCUGCCUGUCUGUCCCUGUGUCCCCACGUCCCCGUGUCUGUCUGUCCCCGUAUCUGUGUCCCUGUAGUCCCUCUGUCCCCGUGUCCGUGUGUCUGUCUGUCCCCACGUGGCCCUUUGUCCCAAUGUCUCCGUUGCCGCGUCCGUCUGUCCCCGUGUCCGUGGGUCACUGUCACCACUCCACGGUGUCCGUCUGUCUGUCCCCAUGUCCGUCUGUCCUCACGUCUGUGUCCCCCCUGUCCCCAUGUGUCCACCCGUCCCUGUCCAUCUGUCCCCCCUGUCCGUGUGUCCGUCUGCCCCCAUGUGCCCCUCUGUGUCCCCGCGUCUGUCUGUCCCCAUUAUCUGUGUGUCCGUCUGUCCCCCUGACCCCGCGUCCAUCUGUCCCCCUGUCCGUGUGUCUGUCUGUCCCCAUGUCCCUCUGUCCCCCUGUCUGUCUGUCCUCGUGGCUGUGUGGCUGUGUGUUCCCAUGUGUCUGUCUGUCCGUCUGUCCCCACGUCUGCAUCCCAACGUCUUCAUGUGUCCCCGUGUCCGUCUGUCCCCGUGUCCCCAUGUCCGUCUGUGUCCCAAUGUCCCCAUACGUCCCUGUGUCCCCCCACGUCCGUGUGUCCGUCUGUCCCCGUGUCCGUCUGUCCCCCUGUCCGUGUGUCCCCGUGUCUGUCUGUCCCCGUGUCCCUCUGUCUGUGUGUCCCCGUGUCCGUCUGUCCCGAUGUCUGUCUGUCCCCGUGGCUGUGUGGCUGUGUGUCCGUAUGGCUGUGUGUCCUCACCUGUCUGUCUGUCCGUCUGUCCCCACGUCUGCAUCCCAACGCCUUUAUGUGUCCCCGUGUCUGUCUGUCCCCAUGUCCGUCUGUCCACAUGUCCGUCCGUGUCCCAGUGUCCCCGUAUGUCCCUGUGUCCCCCCACGUCCGUGUGUCCGUCUGUCCCUGUGUCCCCAUUGUCUGUGUCCUCCUCUCCCCGUCUGUCCCCGUGUCCGUGUGUCACUGUCACUGUGCUGCGCUGCCUGUCUGUCUGUCCCCAUGUCCGUCUGUCCCCAUGUCCCUGUGUCCCCAUGUGUCCCCGCCUCUGUGCGCUAUCAUGGCGUAGAUGGCACUGUUGUGUCAAAAAAGGGCGCUACUGUGGCACUAUCAUGAUAUAAAGGGCUCUAUCAUGGCACUAUCGUGACAUAAAGAGCACUAUUGUUGCGCUGCUGUGGCGCUAUCAAGACAUAAGGGGCACUAUUGUGGCACUAUCGUGACAUAAAGGGCACUAGUGGCGCUAUCGUGGCACUAUUGUGGCACUAUCAUGACAUAGAGGGCACUAUCAUUGCACUAUUAUGGCACUGUUGUGGCACUAUCAUGAUACAAAGGGCACUAUUGGCACUAUUGUAGCAGUAUUGUGACAUAAAGGGCACUAGUGGCACUAUUGUGGCACUAUCAUGGUACUAUCAUGACAUAAAGGGCACUAUUGUGGCACUAUCAUGACAGAGGGCACUAUCAUUGCACUACUGUGGUACUAUUGUGGCGUUAUUGUGGCACAGGUGGCACUGUUAUGGCAUAAAGGGCACUAUCAUGACAGUAUCAUGGCAGUAUCACGACAUAAAAGGCACUAUUGUGGCACAAAAGGCGCUGUCAUGGCACUAUUGUGGCACUAUCAUGACAUAAAGGGCACUAUUGUUGCACUAUUGUGGCACAAAUGGCACUGUUGUGGCACUAUUGUGGCACUACUGUGGCACGGAUGGCACUGUUAUGGCACAAAGUGCACUAUUGUGGCACUAUCAUGACAUAAAAGGCACUAUUGGGGCACUAUCAUGGCAUAGAUGGCACUAUUGUGUCACAAAGGGCACUAUUGUGGCACUAUCAUGGCACUAUCGUGGCACUAUCGUGACACAGGUGGCACCAUUGUGGUGCAGAUGGCACUAUCAUGGCACAAAGGGCAAUACUGUGGCACUAUCAUGACAUAAAGGGCUCUAUCGUGCUACUGUUGUAGCACAAAUGGCACUGCUGUUGCGGCAUGAAGGGCACUAUCGUGGCACUAUCACGACAUAAGGGGCACUCUUGCGACACAGACGGCACUGCCGUGACACAAAAAACUUUAUUGUGGCACUGCCGUGGCACGGUGCCCACUACAAAAGGCGCUAUCGCGACAUCGCCG
ensembl:lncRNA